rnacentral:SRP_RNA from 1 species
GCUGGGCGUGGUGAUGCUUACCUGUCAUCCCAACUAAUGGGGAGGCUGAGGCACAAGAAUCACUUAAACUUGGGAGGUGAAGGUUGCAAUGAGCCGACAUUAUGCCACUGCACUCCAGCUUGGGAGACAGAGGGAGACUCUGUCUCAAAAAAAANNNNNNNNNNGAGACAGAGUCUCCCUCUGUCUCCCAAGCUGGAGUGCAGUGGCAUAAUGUCGGCUCAUUGCAACCUUCACCUCCCAAGUUCAAGUGAUUCUUGUGCCUCAG